AUUGAACGCUGGCGGCAGGCUUAACACAUGCAAGUCGAGCGGGGUGAUGGUGCUUGCACUAUCACUUAGCGGCGGACGGGUGAGUAAUGCUUAGGAAUCUGCCUAUUAGUGGGGGACAACAUCUCGAAAGGGAUGCUAAUACCGCAUACGUCCUACGGGAGAAAGCAGGGGAUCACUUGUGACCUUGCGCUAAUAGAUGAGCCUAAGCCGGAAUAGCUAGUUGGUGGGGUAAAGGCCUACCAAGGCGACGAUCUGUAGCGGGUCUGAGAGGAUGAUCCGCCACACUGGGACUGAGACACGGCCCAGACUCCUACGGGAGGCAGCAGUGGGGAAUAUUGGACAAUGGGGGGAACCCUGAUCCAGCCAUGCCGCGUGUGUGAAGAAGGCCUUAUGGUUGUAAAGCACUUUAAGCGAGGAGGAGGCUCUUUUGGUUAAUACCCAAGGUGAGUGGACGUUACUCGCAGAAUAAGCACCGGCUAACUCUGUGCCAGCAGCCGCGGUAA
rnacentral:rRNA from 1 species